UGUCAUGCAAAGUGCAAACGGAAUGUGC
rnacentral:sRNA from 1 species